AGAAUCAACGCUGGCGGCGUGCCUAACACAUGCAAGUCGCACGAGAAAGGGGAGCAAUCCCUGAGUACAGUGGCGCACGGGUGAGUAACACGUGAAUGAUCUACCUCCGAGUGGGGAAUAACUGAGAGAAAUCUUAGCUAAUACCGCAUAAUACCCACGGGUCAAAGCAGUAAUGCGCUUGGAGAGGAGUUCGCGGCAGAUUAGUUAGUUGGCGGGGUAAUGGCCCACCAAGACGAUGAUCUGUAUCCGGCCUGAGAGGGCGCACGGACACACUGGAACUGAAACACGGUCCAGACUCCUACGGGAGGCAGCAGUGGGGAAUUUUGCGCAAUGGGGGAAACCCUGACGCAGCAACGCCGCGUGGAGGAUGAAGCCCCUUGGGGUGUAAACUCCUUUCGAUCGGGAAGAUAAUGACGGUACCGAUAUAAGAACGCCCGGCUAACUUCGCGCCAGCAGCCGC
rnacentral:rRNA from 1 species